rnacentral:rRNA from 1 species
UACGAAGGGGGCUAGCGUUGUUCGGAAUCACUGGGCGUAAAGGGCGCGUAGGCGGCGCGACAAGUCAGGCGUGAAAGCCCCGGGCUCAACCCGGGAAUUGCGCUUGAUACUGUCGUGCUUGAGGCCGGGAGAGGAUGGCGGAAUUCCCAGUGUAGAGGUGAAAUUCGUAGAGAUCAUGAGGAAGACCAGUGGCGAAGGCGGGUCUCUGGACAGUUCCUGACACUGAGGCACGAAGGCCAGGGGAGCAAACGGG